rnacentral:rRNA from 1 species
AUGUUGCCAGCAGGGGCACAAGAGGACAACCUGAUAUCCCCAAGCCAGUUUGUAAACCAGUGCGGCACAAAAACUGCGGCGUUGAAGGUCACAAACGAAACAACUGCCGCAAAGCGUAUCGUCUGUCUUUGUAUACAGAGUGGUGUACAUAUGGUUGUUGAUCUGUCUUGGUGCUUCUGUGAAGUGCAUUUCCCAUUGCCAACAUGGUUUCUGUUGGCUGAAUUUUUUACUGAGACAAUCUGGUUAUCUUUGGCUGCUGGAUGGGCAAUUGUGCUAAAUGCUGGACAAGUGCAUGCCUGUGUGAGGCCGCGCGCCCAGUGCUCGGCCGAUCCAUUUCUAAUUGCACUACAAGAGCAGGGAAAACAGAGGAGCAAUUACAUAAGCGUUCCUCCACCAUGCGUGCCCCAUCUGACCGAUCCAUUCCUUUUCAUUUAG